UAAGCCAUGCAAGUCUAAGAAUGCUGAUUCAUAUUCAGUAAUCUGCGAACGGCUCCGUAAAACAGUUAUAGUUUGCUUGAUGAUUGGGAGCAAUCCCUAAAUGGAUAAUCUCGGGAAUUCUGAGAAUAAUACAUGCAAAAAGAAGAAUUCGCAAGAGUUCUGCAUCUACAACUUGGUGAUUCAAGGUAGAGAAUUGGCAUAUCAGUGGGCGACUACUGAAGUAACAAGAAAGUUUCUGACCUAUCAACUUUGGAUGGCAGUGUAUUGUACUGCCAUGGUUAUUACGGGUGACAGGGAAUUAGGGUUCGAUUCUGGAGAGGGAGCAUGAGAGACGGCUACCAGUUCUAAGGAGGGCAGCAGGCGCGAAACUUACCCAAUGCUAAUACAGUGAGGUAGUGACAAGAAAUAACAAUACGAAGUAACAUAAGUUAUGACGUCAUUGGAAUGAUUCGGAUUUAGUAUGAACUUGAAGAGCAGCAACGUGGAGGGCAAGUCUGGUGCCAGCAGCCGCGGUAAUUCCAGCUCCACUAGCGUAUGUUUUUAGUGUUGCAGUUAAAAAGCUCGUAGUUGGAUUUUGAUGGGGUAGUGAGAUUGUUAGACCAGGUAGUAAUACUUGUGUUGGUCUCCACUCAUUGUAUAUUGAACAGGGUAAAACUUGUUCAUCAAUUACUGUGAAUAAAAUCGAGUGUUUAAAGCAGACCAUUUGGUCAUUGUCGAUUAUUAGCAUGGGAUAAUGGAAUAGGACUUGGGGGAGUAAGUGGAGGGGAAACUCUACAUUUAUUCUUUUUCCUGAGUAAUGAUUAAAAGGGAUGGUUUGGGUAAUCAGUAUUUUAUGGGGAGGGGUGAAAUCCUUUGAUCCAUAAAAGACUAACUGAUGCGAAAGCGUUUUACAAGGACAUUUUCAUUAAUCAAGAACUAAAGUUAAGGGAGCGAAGAUGAUUAGAUACCAUUGUAGUCUUAACCAUAAACGAUGUCGGCCGAGGAUUGGGAGAAAGGGAGAGAUGAUUUGGGGAAAGAGGAGGUGAUGGCUAAAACCAUUGCUUACUCACCUUGAAUUGCUCUUCUUUCUCGACGAUUAUUCAGGGGGAAACCCCUGAGAUUAUGUCUCUCUCUGUACUCUUUUGGGAAACCAUUGAGCUUUUGGAUUCUGGGGGGAGUACGGUCGCAAGGCUGAAACUUAAAGGAAUUGACGGAAGGGCACCACCAGGAGUGGAGCUUGCGGUUCAAUUCGACUCAACGCGGGAAAACUUACCCGGCCAGGACACAAGAAUGAUUGACAGGUUGAUUAAGUCCUUUCUUGAUUUUGUGGGUGGUGGUGCAUGGCCGUUUUCAGUUGGUGGAGUGAUCUGUUUGCUUAAUUGCGAUAACGAACGAGACCUUAACCUAUUAAAUAAGUUGAAUAAAUAAGAAUGGCCAUUCCAAACAAGGUUUGGGUGAUGGAAGGACUGGGUGGAGGGGCAACUCUUCAUUUUUGUUCUCUGUUUUAACUCUGCUUUGGGUCAAGUUUAUUUAUUAAAUAAACAACUUCUUAGAGGGACUACCAACAUUUUUUUAUAAAUCAAGUUGGUUGGAAGUUUGAGGCUAGAACAGGUCUGUGAUGCCCUUAGAUGUUCGGGGCCACACGCGAGCUACAAUGAUGGCAAGAAAGAGUUUUUGGAUAUUGUCUUGAGAAUGAGGGUAAAACCUUAUUUUCAAACAAGCCUCCCUUGGUAGAAGUACCUGGGUAAUCUUUUAAAGUGCCAUCGUGAUGGGGAUAGAGAAUUGUAAUUAUUUCUCUUGAACGAGGAAUUCCUUGUAAUGGUGGUUCAUCAGAUCACCAUGAAUACGUCCCUGCCCUUUGUACACACCGCCCGUCGCUUCUACCGAUUGAAUAAUCCGAUGAGAAUUUUGGAUUCCCCAUGAUAAGUGGUAAAACAUGAUCUCAUGGUUUGGGAUGAAUAAUCCCAGGAGGGGUGGGCAACUAUCUCUCCGGAAGAAGUCAUUCAAGUCUUAUUAUUUAGAGGAAGAAGAAGUCGUAACAAGGUAACCGUAGGUGAACCUGCAGAAGGAUCA
rnacentral:rRNA from 1 species